CGGCAGGGGCGCGCGCAAACGCUUUCCAGUGGGGAUUGCGCGCACGCGCACCAGCGGGGCGGGAAACGUGGCCGCUGCGUGGCGGCCCCGCCCCCACACGGAGCGCUCGCGCAGUUCAGCCAAUCGCGAGAGGCGUAGGCUUCUGGAUAAGGGCGCUGUGGACGGUUCUUGGGCCGCCCGCGGCUGGCGGAAGGACGGCCACGGUGGCGCCUGCGCGUCCGGCUCGCCGAGUUGCCGCCCGCCAUUUUUGGAGCUUCUUGGAGAUCUAGGCAGGAACCCGCCCCGGGUUCCUUCACCGAGGCUCCUCCCUAGGUCUCAGGGCCGGCGCUUUCCUCUGUUCCCGCCCGGCUCCUGCUGCCCCCAUCCGCAGCUCUCGAGACGCCCUGCGGAAACCCGAGGGGUUUGCAAGAUGUGUGGCUUUUCGCUGGAGGAAGUCAUAACUGACCAGAUUGGAUAUGAAUUCGUGACUGGACUCCUACUUAUAAUUUUCUUGCGUUUUCUUCUAAUCUCUGGCUGAUCUCCUAUUUUCCACAAAGACUGUUUCAAGCUUUCCAUGUUGUUAAAGAUGCCAGUCCCAGUCCAUACUAAUAGAUAAAUUCAUCCAGUUUCCUGGGCUCAGAGCUAUGGGACUCCAAUUCCGGUUUGACCUUGCCUCCAUUAUAAAAUAUCUGUGACCACCUCCUGUUCGUGAUCCCAAAACUUCUAACCAAAUUAACCCAGAACCCUUCUCUCCAAAGCCACUCCCUCUGCCUGAAACUAUGCCAUCCCUUCCCACCUUCUCCUUCCACCACUACUUUCCUAGCGCCUUAUAAUGUAAAUAUGUUCUUAUCCACUGUCUUCUUCCUUUCUGUUUCUCAGAAGUUUCUGUUGUCUUGGCUGGGUGCGGUGGCUCACACCUGUAAUACCAGCACGUUGUGAGGCAGAGGCGGGCAGAUAACAUGAGGUCAGGAGUUCGAGACUACCCUGGCCAACAUGGUGAAACCCUGUCUCUACUAAAAAUACAAACAGCCAGGCGUGCUGGUGUGCGCCUGUAAUGCCAGCUACUCGGGAGGCUGAGGCAGGAGAAUCUCUCGAACCCGGGAGGUGAAGGUUGCAGUGAGCCGAGAUCACGCCACUGCACUCCAGCUUGGGCGAUAAGAGUGAGACUCUGUCUCAAAAAAAAAAAGUUUCUUUUGUCUUUUUUUUUUUUUUAAUUCAGUGAUGUUACUCCCUCCAGUUGCUAUGCUAUCAACGUUCCUUUCAUUGACACAUUCUCAAAAGAAACAGUUACGGUUUUCACCAAUCCCCAUCCCCUACUUGAAACCCUUUUUCCCUUUCUUUUAAGACACUUCCCCGGAUCUACACCUACCUAGUUUGCUGGUCUUCUGAUUUCUUUGCUAGCACCUCCUCUUUCUUCAAUCUGUUCUCUACUACAUGCCUUCUCUUAGGUCUCCCAAAAUUAGUCUGUUCUUGAUUUUUCCUUAACUGAGUUUCCUCGUGUUCAGCUACUUGCCAGAAAGCUGCAGCUCAAACACUUAAAAUAAUUCAUCUCUCUUAUUUGAAUUUCCUAAUUUAUCCUAACAUUGUAAUUUCAGCUAGUGUAGUGAUUAAGAACAUGAACUGUGAAACCAGACUGCUCUGGAAAGCUUUGUAACCUUAGACAAAUCUCUUUCUGUCUCAAUUUCCUCAACUGCAAAAUGGAAAUAGCAACAGUACCAAUCUCAUAGGGUUGUUACGAGUGUUAAACUAUUUAACUAUUUAAUAUUUAAACUAUUUAAUAUAUUAUAGAAAUGCCAUCAGCAUUAUUACAUUUAUUGUUUUUAAUCUUACUAAGAAGUUUUUAGCAUUUUUUUAACUCUGAGGGCAUGGGUAAUCAACUUUCUAAGUUUAUAGAAAUCUAAAAUUGUAUUUUGCCCUCACACUUAAUAAUUGAUUAUAAGUCAUUUUUAUAAUCAAUUUUAUAAAUUGUUUAUAAAUAAUUACAUAGCAGCCUAGGCUCUAAAUUGUAGGGCCAGACUUGAUUAUUUUCUUUCAAAAAAGCCUAAGUCCCACCAUACCUCAUUCAGAUGGCUUGCUUUUUUUUCUACUGCUGCCAUCCUUAUUCAAACCCUUCUCCCCUCCCAUUGCCUUACACCAAAACUAUUGCACUAGCCUUGUAAACACCUCUCCCUUCAUUCACCUCCCUUUUGUUUGUGUUUGUUUGUUUGUUUUUGAGACAGGGUCUUGCCGUGUUGCCCAGGCUGGAGGGCAGUGGUGCAGUCAUAGCUCACUGCAACCUCUGACUUGGGCUCAAGUGAUUCUCACACCUCAGCCUUGCUAGGUCCAGAAGUAGGUGCCAUUGACCCACCUUCCCUCUACUCCCCACUCCUGCUUCACUUCUCUUUUUAAAAUGCAACAUUGUUAUACCUACACAAAAGCGUUCUGUGAUUCCUAUGGCUUAAAAGAUAUCAUCUAAAAUAGUUAAUGACAUUCAAGGCAUGCCUUGAUAUUUUUUCAUUUUUUUCUCUAUUUCAUUAGAAAUUAUUCACACUAGCUGACCUGUCUGAUUAAUCAUAAAUGUAAGUGAAGGGCAGAUUUAUUCAUCCUUUACCUAUCUGGUAAGAUAAAGUAAUAAAGGUCCCAUAACAUGUUGACUUUGUUACAGAAUUACACAUAAAAGCAGAGGCUGCUUUUAAGAAAUUCUUCCCCACCCCCACCCUCCCUGGACAGAGUUUUGAUCUUGUUGCCCAGGCUGGAGUGCAAUGGCGCGAUCUUGGCUCACCGCGGCCUCCAGGUUCAAGCGAUUCUCCUGCCUCAGGCUCCAGACUAGCUGGGAUUACAGGCAUACUCCACCACGCCCAACUAAUUUUAUAUUUUUAGUAGAGACGGGGUUUCACCACGUUGCCCGGGCUGGUCUCAACUCCCGACCUCAGGUGAUCAGCCCACCUCGGCCUCCCAAAGUGCUGGGAUCACAGGCGUGAGCCACUGCGCCUGGCCAAUGAAAUUCUUAAUCAAGAUUCCAAUUCUCUUGGCAAGGAUUUUCAAACAUCACAAUUUUUAUUAACAGCUUCAAGUCAUACAUAUGAUCAAAAUAUUAUUGAGGCACAGUAAAACGAUUCCCCAAAAUACAGCACUUCAGCAUGCUCAAUGCUUUGAAAAUUGAACGGCCUCAGAACCAAGGUCUGUCUCUUACCUUUCCCUGUCUCCCUGAUCCUCUUUCCCGAAGCACCAAGGGUACACUCUCUUUGGAAUUUCCUUAUCUGACCAAGAAAGCUUUUUUCCAAAAGAAAGGCAAUGUUGGCAGGGCAGGGCAUGGUGGCU
rnacentral:lncRNA from 10 species